GGAUAGUGGAGAGGAGAGAGGAGAGGGGACCUGAAAAGCAGAAGAAGCAGUUCCGAAGACAAAGCCUUUUGGGAAACUGCCUCUGGAAAUUUCCUCAGCACAUAUGCAUGUCUUAUCCAUCGUCACCAUCAUCAUAAUUAUGGUCAUCGUCAUCAUGGAAGAUAGAAGUGAGAGAUACGAAACAAGGAGAAUAAAGAAGAGUGCGAGUGGAAAAACAAAGCUAUGAAAGGAGUGCUAUAAAUAGGAAAGUGGGAAAUGUGAGAUAUAUGAAAUCUUCGGCUUUAUAAAAAAAGAUAUGAAAUCUUCGGAUAAGAUGCUAAUUAUUAAUUAAACAAAUAUAAAUAUAAAUAUAUUAUAAUAACUGUUGCU